UACGUAGGGGCCUAGCGUUGUCCGGAUUUAUUGGGCGUAAAGAGCUUGUAGGCGGUUUGUCGCGUCUGCUGUGAAAAUCCGGGGCUCAACCCCGGACUUGCAGUGGGUACGGGCAGACUAGAGUGUGGUAGGGGAGACUGGAAUUCCUGGUGUAGCGGUGAAAUGCGCAGAUAUCAGGAGGAACACCGAUGGCGAAGGCAGGUCUCUGGGCCACUACUGACGCUGAGAAGCGAAAGCAUGGGGAGCGAACAGG
rnacentral:rRNA from 1 species